CAGUUGGAUGAAAGGAGAGAAGGUUAGCACCCCCCUUGACAAGGAUGGAAGAGGCCCUUGGGCCUGACAAUACACAUAUGGUCAAGGCAUGGCCACCUAAUUCACGGCAUCCAACCACGGUUUUUA